UACAGAGGUUCCAAGCGUUGUUCGGAUUUACUGGGCGUAAAGGGUGCGUAGGUGGCGAGGUAGGUUCGAUGUGAAAUCUCCGAGCUCAACUCGGAAAUGGCAUUGAAUACUAUCCCGCUUGAGGGUCGGAGGGGAGACUGGAAUUCUCGGUGUAGCAGUGAAAUGCGUAGAUAUCGAGAGGAACACCAGUGGCGAAGGCGAGUCUCUGGACGACUCCUGACACUGAGGCACGAAAGCUGGGGGAGCAAACAGG
rnacentral:rRNA from 1 species